rnacentral:rRNA from 1 species
UGGGGAAUUUUGCACAAUGGGGGAAACCCUGAUGCAGCGACGCCGCGUGAUUUAGAAGGCCUUCGGGUUGUAAAAAUCUUUUUUACGGGAUGAAAAUGACAGUACCGUAAGAAUAAGGUCCGGCUAAAUACGUGCCAGCAGCCGCGGUAAUACGUAUGGACCGAGCGUUGUCCGGAAUCAUUGGGCGUAAAGGGUACGUAGGCGGCCUAGUAAGUCAGAAGUGAAAUAAUAUAGCUCAACUAUAUAAAGCUUUUAAAACUGCUAGGCUUGAGAGAUGGAAGGGAAAGUGGAAUUCCUAGUGUAGCGGUGAAAUGCGCAGAUAUUAGGAAGAAUACCGGUGGCGAAGGCGACUUUCUGGUCAUCAUCUGACGCUGAGGUACGAAAGCGUGGGUAGCAAACAGG